GAUGAACGCUGGCGGCGUGCCUAAUACAUGCAAGUCGAGCGAACAGACGAGGAGCUUGCUCCUCUGACGUUAGCGGCGGACGGGUGAGUAACACGUGGAUAACCUACCUAUAAGACUGGGAUAACUUCGGGAAACCGGAGCUAAUACCGGAUAAUAUAUUGAACCGCAUGGUUCAAUAGUGAAAGACGGUUUUGCUGUCACUUAUAGAUGGAUCCGCGCCGCAUUAGCUAGUUGGUAAGGUAACGGCUUACCAAGGCAACGAUGCGUAGCCGACCUGAGAGGGUGAUCGGCCACACUGGAACUGAGACACGGUCCAGACUCCUACGGGAGGCAGCAGUAGGGAAUCUUCCGCAAUGGGCGAAAGCCUGACGGAGCAACGCCGCGUGAGUGAUGAAGGUCUUCGGAUCGUAAAACUCUGUUAUUAGGGAAGAACAAAUGUGUAAGUAACUACGCACGUCUUGACGGUACCUAAUCAGAAAGCCACGGCUAACCACGU
rnacentral:rRNA from 1 species